GGUCAAGCUACAAAGGGCGCAUGGUGAAUGCCUUGGCAUCAGGAGCCGAUGAAGGACGUGAUAAGCUGCGAUAAGCUUCGGGUAGGCGCACAUAGCCUGAGAUCCGAAGAUCUCCGAAUGAGGAAACUCACAUGGGAAACCCCAUGUAUCAUUAAGUGAAUACAUAGCUUAAUGAAGGUAACCCAGGGAACUGAAACAUCUAAGUACCUGGAGGAAGAGAAAGAAAAAUCGAUUUUCUUAGUAGCGGCGAGCGAAAGGGAAAGAGCCCAAACCGGAAACUUGUUUCCGGGGUUGUGGACAUAGCAUGAAAGUGGAGGCUAUUGUAACUGAAGAGAACUGGAAAGUUCCACCGUAGAAGGUAAUAGUCCUGUAAGUGAAACGAGAAGACCACGAGUUAUGAUCCAGAGUACCACGAGACACGUGAAACCUUGUGGGAAGCAGGGAGGACCACCUCCCAAGGCUAAAUACUACCUGAUGACCGAUAGUGAAGUAGUACCGUGAGGGAAAGGUGAAAAGAACCCCGGGAGGGGAGUGAAAUAGAACCUGAAACCGUGUGCCUACAACCGCUCAGAGCCUCUUAUGAGGGUGAUGAGGUGCUUUUUGUAGAACGAGCCAACGAGUUACGGUAUGUAGCAAGGUUAAGUACUUAAGGUACGGAGCCGAAGGGAAACCGAGUCUGAAUAGGGCGACUAGUUGCAUGCCGUAGACCCGAAACCGGGUGACCUAUCCAUGGCCAGGUUGAAGCGAGGGUAAAACCUCGUGGAGGACCGAACCACGUUGCUGUUGAAAAAGCAUGGGAUGAGCGGUGGAUAGCGGAGAAAUUCCAAUCGAACCCGGAGAUAGCUGGUUCUCUCCGAAAUAGCUUUAGGGCUAGCGUCGAGUAUGAGUAGUGGAGGUAGAGCACUGAAUGGGCUAGGGGGCAUAGCGCUUACCGAAC
rnacentral:rRNA from 1 species